AAUUAGCAGGGUGAUGAUGAAAGAGGGGGGAUUAAUGACUUCCCAGCCCAAGUUCCUGAGUUACAGGGUCCUUCUUCCCCAAUCUGCUCAGAAACUGGACUCUCAUGGCAGGCAUUCACAUCCCACUGUUCUCAAUGCCUCAGGAAAAAGAGGAGCUGCUUUAUCCCUUCUGAGGGCUGACUCUUUGCAUAGGCUUUGUCUGCUUUCUGGCACCGGGCAGGCUCCGUUUCACACAAGUGGAUUUGUAAUUUAG
rnacentral:lncRNA from 1 species